rnacentral:lncRNA from 1 species
GUGAGACAAGCUUCCAUAUCCGAGUACUGAAUCUGGACGUCAUCCUUACCAAAAUCCGUACUUCCCAACUUUUACUUUUUAUAAAAACGGAAAUUUAAAACUUUCCGAAAUCAAGAAUCAAAGUUUUAAUACAACCAGAAUUAUUGUUAUACUAGCCCAAUCAGACCACAAGAAUUCGACACCACCCAAUAAAUCGUUCCAGAAACCUCCUCUGAUUAUCCUGCAAUCGCCGGAGUUCUACCGGAGUAAACCGCAAUCGCCGGAGUUCUCAUCGGAAAGCUGCACGUCACCGGAUACGUUAGGACCCUCAUUCUUUUUUUUUGUUACGGUAUAUUUAUAUUUCCCAUCUAUCCAUUUUAUCUUUUGAUACUCCUUUUAUAUAGUUAUGAUACACCAAGGCUGAGUUUAAUAAGCAUAUUAUAAGCACAGUGUUUCCUGUUCUCACAGUAAGAUCGAGACGGGGCGGAUUUAGGUGGGGUUCAGGGGGUGCACGGGAUACCCUCAACUUUCUUGGUGAAAUACAAAAAAGAAAAUUGUGUUGUUUUAUGUAUUCAGAUACCUCUAAGAAACUAUUAGGAUAUCCCUGAAUAUAAUAUAUGAGUGAAUAUAAUAUAUGAGAGACAUGGAGAGAAACAAUAAAUUUUUUUUGAAGAAAAAUGAGAUCUCCGGUAUGAGUUGCAGAGACCAAGAAGACGACUAUAAAGAUAUUUGAUUUUUUCUUCUUCUUUUGAAAUUGAAAUGUGAAAAGUGGGCUGGAACCUACGUGGCUCCCAAGCCUAUUAUUAUUUUCUAUUUUAUUUACCAUUUACAAUUACAGUUACAAUUUAGAAUUACAAUAUAAUAACUAACAUACUAUAUAAUUAUUGUUACUUGUAUGAAAUUUAUUAAAUUAAUUAUCUACAAAUUUAUUAAUCUAGCAUAUUAUUUAUUAUUUCAUCAACAUAUUAUCUAUUAGCUUUUUAUUUUCUUUUAUUUUAUUUGGAACUUAACCGAAAAUUUUACUUUGGUUUUUAUUUUAUUUGGAACUAACAUACUAUUUGGUUGUUGUCUAAAGGCAAAGCUUCAUGGUUUUAAGAUGUAAGCGAUGAUUUAAAAAUACAGGUAAAAAAGUAUAACUUAUCAUUUUAAAAGGUAAACGACAUCUAUUGAAAUGUGGUAUAAACAUACAUAUCAAAAAGUGUAACUUACUCUUUAAACUAUUCAAAUACCUUCUCGACUUGCACUAACUACUUUCUUAAAGAAUAUGUAUUUUAUUUUUAGUUUUUAUUCUUUUAUUUUUCUUUUUAUAAAUCUUUAUUUCUUAUUUAUUUGGGCCUUUUAUGAAUGAUUUAAUGAGAUUUUUCUUUUUUGUGUACACCAGUAAUGGAAGAUAAAAGUAUGCAAGGACAAAGCUCCAAAAGACGUAUGAAUGCUUAUGAAAAUAGUAGAAUGUCAAGGAUUCAAGAGAAUCAAAAAAAUUACAAGCUUUGGGAUUGAGGACGCAUGAUGACUCAAGAUUUUAUGCUUCUUAUUUCUUUUAUUGCUUUUAAUUUCUUUGUUAAAUGUUAAGACUUUAUGUUAGAUAAUGUUAUAGCUUAUGUAUGUUGA